UCAACCAUCAAGCCUAGCUUGCCGUUGAGCCUCGCCCCUGACCGGGCGGGCUCGAAAGACAGCGACGGCGUCGGUCGGACCCCGGAUGCAACGAGCUCUCUGUAGCACGCAUCACGCGCGGCCGGCGGCGCCGGUCCUCCCCCAUAUCUUCUCAA
rnacentral:misc_RNA from 1 species